CAGGAACAUCCAGCGCUUCCCGGGCCAUGGGGAGAGCAGCAGCUGUAUUGAUGAUUCCUGGCACACUGACAGAUGGGUGUUCGGAGAGAGCUACAUCUCCCAGCAGCCCAUGCACCUCCCAGCAGCCCCCUCCCCAGUCGGAAGAUAGAGGGGAGUGCAUCGGGAGCCCAGGAGACCACCAGACAGGAACUGAUCUGGCAGCAAGUCCAUCAUCCUCUGAGACCAAAAAGCCACUGAGCUCCUGUGUGAUCAAUAAGUGUUAUCUAGUUUCUGGGGGAGGGAUUCACGAUGAGUCACCAGUUCCUUUGUAUAUGCUAAUCAGGUUCAGCCUUGAAGACAUCCAAAGGGCUGGCCUGAGUUUCCUGUUCAUUACCUGUUUGGAGUAUCUAUUGUUCUAAUAAA